GUGGGUGGCAAGCGUUGUCCGGAAUUAUUGGGCGUGAAGCGCGCGCAGGCGGUUCUUUAAGUCUGAUGUGAAAGCCCACGGCUCAACCGUGGAGGGUCAUUGGAAACUGGAGAACUUGAGUACAGAAGAGGAAAGCGGAAUUCCACGUGUAGCGGUGAAAUGCGUAGAGAUGUGGAGGAACACCAGUGGCGAAGGCGGCUUUCUGGUCUGUAACUGACGCUGAGGCGCGAAAGCGUGGGGAGCAAACAGGAUUAGAUACCCUGGUAGUCCACGCCGUAAACGAUGAGUGCUAAGUGUUAGGGGGGUUUUCCGCCCCCCUUAGUGCUGCAGCUAACGCAUUAAGCACUCCGCCUGGGAUACGGCCGCAAGGCUG
rnacentral:rRNA from 1 species